rnacentral:rRNA from 1 species
AAUGAACGCUGGCGGCAGGCCUAACACAUGCAAGUCGAACGAGUGGCGGACGGGUGAGCAAUUGCUGGAAACGUGCCUGAUGGACGGGGCUAACUACUGGAAAAGGUAGCUAAAGGCACAUAACAUCGGUUGUGCCCAGAUGGGAUUAUCUAGUAGGUGGGUUAAAGGCUCACCUAGGCGACGAUCCCUAGCUGGUCUGAGAGGAUGACCAGCCACACUGGAACUUGGACACGGCCCAGACUCCUACGGGAGGCAGCAGUGGGGAAUAUUGCACAAUGGGCGAAAGCCUGAUGCAGCCAUGCCGCGUGUAUGAAGAAGGCCUUCGGGUUGUAAAGUACUUUCGGCGGGGAGGCGUUACCCGCCGAAGAAGCACCGGCUAACUCCGUGCCAGCAGCCGCGGUAAUAC